CAACCUAGAAACACCAGAGUGACAGUGAGUCCCUCUGGUCCAGUGACAGAGCACAGUAAUAUGUCACUGAGCUGCAGCAGUGAUGCCAACCCAGCUGUACAGCACUACCACUGGUAUAAAGCUGAUGGAGGAACUCACACUCUGAUCGGAAACUCAUCUGUUUUAAACAUGAAAGCCUCCAGAGAUACUACUGCUAUUUUUUGUGAAGCACAAAAUGAACUUGGAACUGAUAAUUCUACUGUCACUGACUUGGAUGUACAGUUCCCUGCACAGAUCCUGAGCUCCUCAAACUGCCCUGGAGACUCAGCCCGGAUGAGCUGUGUGUGUGAGACUGAGGGGAACCCCUUUCCCCUGAUACAGUGGAGUUUGCCUGAAAUAUCCUCCAACCACUCCAUCAGCAGUGAACCUCUGAGUGACAAAGCUCUAAGAAGUGUCAUCACUGUUAUUAAACCUCAGUGGAGAGAUCCAGUCACUUUGGUCUGUCACAGCAGCAACUCUCUGGGAUCUCAGAAACAAAGGUUUAGUGCUCUUGCUGUCCUCUAUCGACCCUUAAACACCAGAGUGACAGUGAGUCCCUCUGGUCCAGUGACAGAACACAGUAAUAUGUCACUGAGCUGCAGCAGUGAUGCCAACCCAGCUGUACAGCACUACCACUGGUAUAAAGCUGAUGGAGGAACUCACACUCUGAUCGGAAACUCAUCUGUUUUAAACAUGAAAGCCUCCAGAGAUACUACUGCUAUUUUCUGUGAGGCUCAGAAUGAACUUGGGACUGAUAAUUCUACUGUUAUUCAUCUGGAUGUACAAUUCCCUGCACAGAUCCUGAGCUCUUCAAACUGCUCUGGAGACUCAGCCCAGAUGAGCUGUGUGUGUGAGACUGAGGGGAACCCCUUUCCCCUGAUACAGUGGAGUUUGCCUGAAAUAUCCUCCAACCACUCCAUCAGCAGUGAGCCUCUGAGUGACAAAGCUCUACGAAGUGUCAUCACUGUUAUUAAACCUCAGUGGAGAGAUCCAGUCACUUUGGUCUGUCACAGCAGCAACUCUCUGGGAUCUCAGAAAAGGCGACAUUAUACACAUGAAUUUCAACAAGCAGGAGCUGAAAUUGAAGUGAAAAGUCUGCUCCUCAUAAGCAUUAUUAUUAUUCUACUGGCCCUGAUGUGUGUUCUGUUGUAUGUGAUCAGAACUCAAAAUAUUCGUCUUAAGUGUCGGUCUGAUGAUGUCGCCUUGAACCCAAUACCACUGUCAAAUGAGUCACAGGUGGAGACUCAGAUGGGCUUUUAUGCCAGUACAAAUGAGAUGGUGCCCCAGGCUGAGUCAAACAUAUAUGCCAACGCAAAUGAGUUGAGAGCAGAAGAGCAGGCAAAGAGCAGUGCACCAAACUGUAACAAAGAAAAUAUCCAGGCCUCUGACAGUGGCCAGGACAAUGCCCUUUAUUCCAUAGUGAACUGGAAGACCAGAAGCAAGAAGAAGGUGCAAGAGACUGCGGCUAACACAGAUCCUCCAUGUAGCUCCUAUCUGGAGGAGGAGAGGAGCAUUGUGGGAGACAGAGGCAGAUUUUGUGUCUCUGAAAAGCUGGUAGAAUGUGAAUAUGCCCAAGUUAAAUUUAAACCAAAGAAGCAGGUGCAAUAGACUUGCUCUAUGAAAUAAAUGUAUUGAUUUAAUUUUACACUGAUCCCCACCUAAGAUAGAAGUUGUUGGGGAGUGUAUAAAAUGUAUAUUGUGAAAUUGUAUUAUGUCAC
ensembl:lncRNA